AGUUGCAGUCCCUUUUCUAAAGGCUGGGGGCGGCCGUGAGGUCAUCGGUGGUCGCCGGGAGCAGCUCGCACGUGGUGAGGAAGGGGCGGUCGGCGCUUGCUGUUAGUAGCCUCAGAGGAGCAGGAGUUGCCGGAGCUCGCGUCUCCCGCCGCGUCGCCCUCCCGACAUGCCGGAGGAGGCGGGCUUCCCGCCGGCCAAGAGAUUCCGGCCGGGCUCUGGGACCCCGAGCCGCGCUGACUCCUACCUAUCCGGGAGGCGAGUGGUGAUGCUGCUGACUGCGGGGGGCGGCGGCGGCGGCCGGAGGCAACAGCCGCCCCUGGCCCAGCCCUCGUCCAGUCCCUACCGUGAGGCCCUGGAGCUGCAGCGCCGGAGUCUGCCCAUCUUUCAGGCGCGGGCGCAGCUGUUGGCCCAGCUCCGAAACCUGGACAGUGCCGUCCUCAUCGGGGAAACUGGCUCUGGGAAGACAACUCAGAUUCCUCAGUAUCUUUAUGAAGGGGGAAUCAGCCGCCAGGGUAUCAUUGCAGUGACCCAGCCCCGUCGAGUGGCUGCCAUCUCUCUUGCCACUAGAGUCUCAGACGAAAAGAGGACUGAACUCGGGAAACUGAUUGGUUAUACAGUGCGCUUUGAGGAUGUCACCUCAGAAGAUACCAGGAUCAAGUUCCUAACAGAUGGCAUGCUUCUGCGUGAAGCAAUUUCAGACUCCCUGCUUCGGAAGUACAGCUGUGUCAUUUUGGAUGAAGCCCAUGAACGGACUAUCCACACAGAUGUCCUUUUUGGAGUGGUGAAAGCUGCACAGAAGAGGCGAAAGGAGCUGGGGAAACUGCCUCUCAAAGUGAUUGUGAUGUCAGCUACAAUGGAUGUGGACCUGUUUUCUCAGUAUUUCAAUGGAGCCCCUGUCCUCUACCUGGAGGGUCGGCAGCAUCCAAUCCAGAUUUUUUACACUAAACAGCCUCAGCAUGAUUACCUGCAUGCAGCUCUUGUCUCAGUUUUCCAGAUCCACCAGGAAGCCCCUUCUUCCCAGGACAUCCUUGUGUUUCUUACUGGUCAGGAGGAGAUUGAAGCAAUGAGCAAGACUUGCCGAGACAUUGCAAAGCACCUUCCGGAUGGUUGCCCUGCAAUGCUGGUCCUUCCUCUGUACGCCUCCCUGCCCUAUGCACAGCAACUCCGAGUCUUCCAAGGAGCCCCAAAGGGCUAUCGCAAAGUGAUCAUUUCAACCAACAUCGCUGAAACCUCCAUAACCAUUACAGGAAUAAAAUAUGUUGUUGACACAGGCAUGGUUAAAGCAAAGAAGUAUAACCCUGUCAGUAGUCUUGAGGUGUUAGCUGUGCAGCGGGUGUCAAAGACCCAGGCCUGGCAGCGCACAGGGAGGGCUGGCAGAGAGGAGAGUGGCAUCUGCUACCGGCUCUACACUGAAGAGGAGUUUGAGAAGUUUGAUAAGAUGACCGUGCCAGAGAUCCAAAGGUGUAACCUGGCGAGUGUGAUACUUCAGCUCCUAGCAAUGAAAGUUCCAAAUGUGCUGACCUUUGAUUUCAUGUCCAAACCAUCUCCAGAUCACAUUCAGGCGGCCAUUGCCCAGCUGGACCUGUUAGGUGCUCUUGAACAUAAGGAUGACCAGCUUACUCUGACUCCAAUUGGAAGAAAGAUGUCAGCAUUUCCUUUAGAGCCCAAAUUUGCCAAAACCAUCCUCCUGUCCCCCAAAUUCCACUGUACAGAGGAGAUUCUGACCAUCGUCUCUCUGCUGUCUGUGGAUAGUGUUCUCCACAACCCUCCUGCCAAGCGGGAUGAAGUUCAGGGGAUCCGGAAGAAGUUCAUAUCUAGCGAGGGAGAUCACAUUACCCUGCUCAAUAUCUAUCGGACCUUCAAAAACAUAGGUGGAAAUAAGGAUUGGUGCAGAGAGAAUUUUGUCAACAGCAAGAAUAUGAUGUUAGUAGCUGAAGUCAGAGCACAGCUGAGGGAAAUCUGCUUAAAGAUGUCAGUGCCAAUCACAUCAUCACGAGGAGACACAGAAAGCAUCCGCCGCUGCCUGGCUCACAGCCUCUUCAUGAGCACCGCUGAGCUCCAGCCAGACGGGUCCUAUGCCACCACGGACACCCACCAGCCAGUUGCCAUCCACCCCUCAUCUGUCCUCUUCCACUGCAAGCCAGCCUGCGUCGUGUACACUGAGCUGCUCUACACCAACAAGUGCUACAUGCGUGACCUCUGCAUCGUGGACGCUGAGUGGCUGUAUGAGGCUGCUCCCGACUACUUCCGGAGGAAAUUGAGAACUGCCAGAAGCUGAACCCCCACACCCCAGGAGCUGCCGGUGUGGCUCAGACCUGGAGCUUGACCACAGCUAUUCUUGCAGCAGACUCCCAGUUCGGCAGCUAGAGGAGCUUUCUGGGGAUUGGGCCUUACCCAUGCCGUAUCCCUUGAACUACUGCCAGUCAUGGAUCCUAUUCUCAUGUCUGCCCGUAUGAAGCUUUGCAAUAGAGAACCUAAGGAAGUGGCUGCUGUACACAUUUCUGGAGGAGGUGCCGUUGUUUCUCAGCUCCCAGAACUGUCCCUCCUGAGCCUCGUGUCUCAGGGUGUGGCUGCUGUGUUUCCAAGCAGAGACCAGCAAGCGCGUCUCCUGGCACUCAGUGACUGGCGCACACCCCCAUCAGUGCCUUCAAGGGCGUUUAAGUUUCCUGGGCCAAGGUUGAUGUCAUGUGUAGUCAUAGGAACUGACCUUUCAGUGUGCUGGCCCCCACACUGUCAUUUUUCCCUGUCACUGGGCACCUGUGGACCUGUGCACACAAGGGAUGAUUUCAUGCCCGUUUUAGCUAUUUCUCUUUGGGUGGGCCCCAGGGCAGAGCUGCUGGGGGGUGGGGAGAAGUGCAUGAUGAGUAAGAACCCAGAGAACAUGGCCUUGUGCACCAUGCCUGGUUGUUAUGUUCUGGGAUGUUAUAGAUUCUCUGUGAUAGCUUUCCUUCUUUGCAGGGACUUGGGAACAAUCUGGCUUUGCUACUUCCUAACUUAAUUGCUCUGGGCACCUUUUUCUAACUCUUAUUGUCUACAUUUGUUAGAAUUAGUGGCUCUCCACAGACUCGUCCUCCUGGGGAAAGACAGUACAUGUUCUUCUUAGCUAGUUAAUUAUCAAAAGCAAACAAUCAUCGGGUGUGGUGGUGCACCCGUAAUUCCACAACUUGGGAGGCUGAGGCAGGAAGAUUACAAGUUCAAGGCCAGCCUGAGUUAUAUAGCAAGACCUUGACUCAAAGUUUAAGGAAAAAAAAAAAGGCUAGCUUUCCGAGACUUUGGACCUAGGAAACGCCACAUCAUUUAGCCCUCUUAUUUUAAUUGGCCUAAACAUCACUUAUGUUAGAAAGGAAUACUCCAAUUAAAGACACAGGAACAAAGAAUUGUCUUAGCAACGCAAAACUUUACUUCUGGCCAGAAGGGUGCCAGCAUGCACAUGGCAAAACCAGCACAAUUAUAAAAUCAAUUGUACACUUUGUAAUAGCAGGGGUCAAACUGGCCAGGAGGCACUGCAAAGACUGCAGACGGCCUCUUCACUCUGGGUCCAGUGAGCACUUUAUAGAGAUGGUAGGUAGCCUGACUGGGCACAUCCAAUCCAGGUCUCAUUUGACCCUGUUGUGUAAGUUGACUCUGGCCCACUCUUUAUUUACAAGUCUAGCCAUGGUCCUUAGCAGCGGAGCUACAGCCAGUGUUGAGGGUUGUUUGGCAUUUGUGAUUGAUUUGUUAAAAAUGGUUACAUUUAGUCCAAAUGAAAUUUGACAGAUCCUAUAUACCUUAUCUUAUGGAAUUCUUAAACUUUGAACUGUUUCUGUUCCACAGACCAGAAAGGGUUGUUGUUUUUUUCUUUUUAAGUAUAUUUUUCUAGUAGUAUAGAGCUAGGAUGUUUGGCUUGACUUAGUAAAAGAAAAUUUUGUACUUUUAAUAGAACAUUCAUCAUGCUGGUAAAA